GACGAACGCUGGCGGCGUGCCUAAUACAUGCAAGUUGAGCGCUGAAGGUUGGUACUUGUACCGACUGGAUGAGCAGCGAACGGGUGAGUAACGCGUGGGGAAUCUGCCUUUGAGCGGGGGACAACAUUUGGAAACGAAUGCUAAUACCGCAUAAAAACUUUAAACACAAGUUUUAAGUUUGAAAGAUGCAAUUGCAUCACUCAAAGAUGAUCCCGCGUUGUAUUAGCUAGUUGGUGAGGUAAAGGCUCACCAAGGCGAUGAUACAUAGCCGACCUGAGAGGGUGAUCGGCCACAUUGGGACGGAGACACGGCCCAAACUCCUACGGGAGGCAGCAGUAGGGAAUCUUCGGCAAUGGACGAAAGUCUGACCGAGCAACGCCGCGUGAGUGAAGAAGGGUUUCGGAUCGUAAAACUCUGUUGGUAGAGAAGAACGUUGGUGAGAGUGGAAAGCGCAUCAAGUGACGGUAACUACCCAGAAAGGGACGGCUAACUACGUG
rnacentral:rRNA from 1 species